rnacentral:rRNA from 1 species
UCUACCCUACGGGACGCAGCAGUGGGGGAUAUUGCACAAUGGGGGAAACCCUGAUGCAGCGACGCCGCGUGAGUGAAGAAGUAUUUCGGUAUGUAAAGCUCUAUCAGCAGGGAAGAAAAAAGACGGUACCUGACUAAGAAGCCCCGGCUAACUACGUGCCAGCAGCCGCGGUAAUACGUAGGGGGCAAGCGUUAUCCGGAUUUACUGGGUGUAAAGGGAGCGUAGACGGCAAUACAAGUCGGAAGUGAAAUACCCGGGCUUAACCUGGGCACUGCUUUGGAAACUGUAUGGCU